rfam:Danio rerio chromosome 7, GRCz11 reference primary assembly.
GCUCCAGUGGCGCAAUCGGUCAGCGCGUGGUAUUUAUAUGACAGUACAAUUCUUAGCAAUGCUGAGGUUGUGAGUUCGAACCUCACCUGGAGCA